GGUUAAGUUAACAAGGGCGCAUGGUGAAUGCCUUGGCACUAGGAGCCGAUGAAGGACGGGACUAACACCGAUAUGCUUCGGGGAGCUGUACGUAAGCUAUGAUCCGGAGAUUUCCGAAUGGGGCAACCCAGCAGUUUUAAUCAACUGUUACCACUAGAUGAAUUCAUAGUCUAGUUGGAGGUAAACGCUGUGAACUGAAACAUCUCAUUAGCAGCAGGAAUAUAAAGAAAUUUCGAUUCCCUAAGUAGCGGCGAGCGAACGGGGAACAGCCCAAACCAAAGUGCUUGCACUUUGGGGUUGUAGGACUGAACAUUUGAGUUACCAAAGAACUUGAUAGUCGAAGGAUUUGGGAAAAUCCGCCAUAGAUGGUGAUAGCCCAGUAGAUUAAAUCAAAUUCUCUCAGUUCAGGAUCCUGAGUACGGCGGAACACGUGAAAUUCCGUCGGAAUCCGGGAGGACCAUCUCCCAAGGCUAAAUACUACCUAGUGACCGAUAGUGAACCAGUACCGUGAGGGAAAGGUGAAAAGCACCCCGGGAGGGGAGUGAAAUAGUUCCUGAAACCAUGUGCCUACAAUAAGUCAGAGCGCGUUAAUGCGUGAUGGCGUGCCUUUUGUAGAAUGAACCGGCGAGUUAUGAUCCCGUGCAAGGUUAAGACUAAAAAGUCGGAGCCGUAGCGAAAGCGAGUCUGAAAUGGGCGUUUUGAGUACGAGGUUAUAGACCCGAAACCAGGUGACCUAUCCAUGUCCAGGUUGAAGGUGCGGUAAAACGCACUGGAGGACCGAACCCGUGUAAGUUGAAAAUUGCUGGGAUGAGGUGUGGAUAGCGGUGAAAUUCCAAACGAACUUGGAGAUAGCUGGUUCUCUCCGAAAUAGCUUUAGGGCUAGCCUCGGAAUUAGGAUCAUGGAGGUAGAGCACUAUUUGGACUAGGGGCCCGUCUUGGGUUACUGAAUUCAGAUAAACUCCGAAUGCCAUUGAUUCAUAUCCGGGAGUCAGACGAUGAGUGAUAAGAUCCACCGUCGAAAGGGGAACAGCCCAGACCAUCAGUUAAGGUCCCUAAAUGUAUGCUAAGUGGAAAAGGAUGUGGAGUUGCAUAGACAACUAGGAUGUUGGCUCAGAAGCAGCCACCAUUUAAAGAGUGCGUAAUAGCUCACUAGUCGAGUGAUCCUGCGCCGAAAAUGUACCGGGGCUAAGCAUACUACCGAAACCAUGGAUGCGACCAUUAGGUCGCGUGAUAGGAGAGCGUUCUAAGGGCGGUGAAGCAAGAUCGUGAGGACUUGUGGAGCGCUUAGAAGUGAGAAUGCCGGUAUGAGUAGCGAAAGAUAGGUGAGAAUCCUAUCCACCGAAUGACUAAGGUUUCCUGGGGAAGGCUCGUCCUCCCAGGGUUAGUCGGGACCUAAGUCGAGGCCGAGAGGCGUAGACGAUGGAUAACAGGUUGAGAUUCCUGUACUAGUUAAGUGCGUUUGAGCAAUGGAGGGACGCAGGAGGCUAAGAUGUGCAUUCUGUUGGAUUAGAAUGUCCAAGCAGUAAGUCUUGUGAAGAGUCAAAUGCUUUUCACUUUAAGGACAAGCUGUGAUGGGGAGCGAAAUUUAGUAGCGAAGCGUCUGAUGUCACACUGCCGAGAAAAGCUUCUAGUGAGUACUUAACUACCCGUACCGCAAACCGACACAGGUAGUCGAGGAGAGAAUCCUAAGGUGAGCGAGUGAACUCUCGUUAAGGAACUCGGCAAAAUGACCGUAACCUUCCGAGAAGGAUUCUGAUGCAGUCAGCGCAUGAAUGCAGGACUGUUAUCAGAACCCAGUCUCGCAAAUUCGUAAGAUGACGUAUAGGGCUGACGCUGCCCGUGCUGAAGUAAAGAUGGUUAGCUCGCGAGCUCAGAUGAAGCUCAGUAAACGCGCGUACUAUAACGGUCUAAGGUAGCGAAAUUCCUGUCGGGUAAGUUCCGACCGCACGAAAGGCGUAACGAUCUGGGCACUGUCUCAACGAGAGACUCGGUGAAAUUAUAUUGUCCGUGAAGAUGCGGACUACCCGCGACAGGACGGAAAGACCCCAUGGAGCUUUACUGUAGCUUGAUAUUGAGUGUUUGUACAGCUUGUACAGGAUAGGUAGGAGCCAUAGAAACCGGAACGCUAGUUUCGGUGGAGGCGUUGGUGGGAUACUACCCUCGCUGUAUGACCACUCUAACCCGCACCACUAAUCGUGGUGGGAGACAGUGUCAGGUGGGCAGUUUGACUGGGGCGGUCGCCUCCUAAAAAGUAACGGAGGCGCCCAAAGGUUCCCUCAGAAUGGUUGGAAAUCAUUCGCAGAGUGUAAAGGCACAAGGGAGCUUGACUGCGAGACAGACAGGUCGAGCAGGGACGAAAGUCGGGCUUAGUGAUCCGGUGGUACCGUAUGGAAGGGCCAUCGCUCAACGGAUAAAAGCUACCCUGGGGAUAACAGGCUUAUCUCCCCCAAGAGUCCACAUCGACGGGGAGGUUUGGCACCUCGAUGUCGGCUCAUCGCAUCCUGGGGCUGUAGUCGGUCCCAAGGGUUGGGCUGUUCGCCCAUUAAAGCGGUACGCGAGCUGGGUUCAGAACGUCGUGAGACAGUUCGGUCCCUAUCCGUCGCGGGCGUAGGAAAUUUGAGAGGACCUGUCCUUAGUACGAGAGGACCGGGAUGGACAUACCUCUGGUGUACCAGUUGUGCCGCCAGGCGCAUCGCUGGGUAGCUACGUAUGGAUGUGAUAAACGCUGAAAGCAUCUAAGUGUGAAACACACCUCGAGAUGAGAUUUCCCAUUCCUUUAUGGAAGUAAGACCCCUGAAAGAUGAUCAGGUAGAUAGGUUAGAAGUGGCAGUGCGGUGACGCAUGAAGCGGACUAAUACUAAUCGGUCGAGGACUUAACCAA
rnacentral:rRNA from 2 species